UGCUACUCGGCCACCUCCGCCUACAAGGUCCAGUUCCUUGCCUCUUUGCCCUGCCAGUUCGGGAACAUCGUGUGGAAGACCUGGGCCCCUCCAAAGUGUCGUUUCUUCGCCUGGCUCGCUGUCCAGAACCGUUUAUGGACCGCCGAUCGCUUGGCGAAACGCGGAUGGCCGCACCAACCUACUUGUCAGCUCUGCCGUUCCUCCCCUGAGACGGCACGGCACAUUCUUUUCGAGUGCCGCUUCUCCAGACAUAUCUGGACGGCCACGGCCUCUUGGCUGUCUUGUCCAGACCUCAUCAGCAGCAUUGAGGAGGGUAGGCCUAAAGUCGUGGACUAUUGGUUGGCCGUUUCGAAGUCCACCACCUCCUCCCCAAAUGGCUUGCGCUCAGCUACCACGCUCAUCACUUGGGAGAUCUGGAAAGAGAGGAACGAAUGA
rnacentral:rRNA from 1 species